rnacentral:lncRNA from 1 species
GCCAUAAAAGCAAAAGAAAAUAGAACAUCAAAACAGAAUUUGAGAUGUUGAAAAAUUUAAUACAUUCCAAACAUAGUAAAUGCAUUAGUAAUACCUAGGUGAGCUAUGCCAAACAGAGGCGUAUCCAGGAUUUUAAGAUUAUGGGUGCACUAUUUGAAAGCAGUGAAGGAUUUGUCAUCUUUUGAACUUUCGGAGCUAUUUGUGAACUCACGGAUGACCGAGUAGUACUAGAACUUGGCUCACCAUUUUUCGGCUUGGUGAGAUAUCUGUCCAUUUCAAUGUUAAGGAUAAUCGUUCCUAUAAAGUUAAACAUUUACACUUUUAUUCAAUCUAUCUUAAUUCAAGGAGAAUAGUAUGAUUCAAAUUAUAGAAUAAUUGGAUUUAAGGGACACAAAUGAAUCGGUUACUACAUUAGAUCAGUUUUAUCAUUGGCUUCAUAGUAUGAUUCUUUCUUUGAUUGUUAGUAAUUACUUCAUUUUUAGAGAAUUCUUAGCAGAAGUUUAAACUCUAGUUCUUAGCAGAUCAAUCUUAUGUUAUCUUGACCCAAAAUACUAAUAAUUAGUCAGAAAUUAAGUUCACAUAGCCCAUACUUAACUAAACACGAUCAAACAUUUUCUCAAACACAAUAUAUGCGCAAAUCAAUACUGCUAAUAUUCAAGAAUUUAAAGCCAUAACUCUCCCAAAUAUCCCAAGAAAUAGCAUUCAACAACCAAAUCUUAGAAAUAAACAAUAAUAAUAACCAACAACAAGACAAAAUCUUGGCAAGAGAUUCAAAUAUUAAACAGAAAGGGAAAAGAGAAUUCGAAAAAUUGCAAGAGGAGAAGAAAUUUCAGCGAAUAAAUUAAAAUAUAGAGCAAGAAGAGAGACAUGGUAGUUGCAUACUUGAGAAACUAAAGGCAAGACCAAUGAGAAGAAAUUGCGCUAUUGAUUCUUGAAGUAUCUACCGAGGGCGAAGAGAGAUGGGGUAUUUGAAGAGAGAGGGAGAGAGUAGUUGCAUCUAAUUUAUUUU